GUGCUCGCUUCAGCAAUACAUAUACUUUACAAUUGGAACGAUACAAAGAAGAUUAGCAUGGCCCCUGUGCAAGGAUAACAGGCAAAUUCGUAAAGCGUUCCAUAUGUUU